UACAGAGGUCUCAAGCGUUGUUCGGAUUCAUUGGGCGUAAAGGGUGCGUAGGUGGCGCGCUAAGUCAGGUGUGAAAUUUCGGAGCUUAACUCCGAAACUGCAUUUGAUACUGGCGUGCUUGAGGACUGGAGAGGAGACUGGAAUUCACGGUGUAGCAGUGAAAUGCGUAGAUAUCGGGAGGAACAUCCGUGGCGAAGGCGGCUACCUGGACCAGCACUGACACUGAGGCACGAAAGCGUGGGGAGCAAACAGG
rnacentral:rRNA from 1 species